UUGACGCUGGCGGCAUGCCUUACACAUGCAAGUCGAACGGUAACAGGUUAAGCUGACGAGUGGCGAACGGGUGAGUAAUACAUCGGAACGUGCCCAGACGUGGGGGAUAGCUCGGCGAAAGCCGGAUUAAUACCGCAUAAGCUCUGAGGAGGAAAGCGGGGGACCGUAAGGCCUCGCGCGUUUGGAGCGGCCGAUGGCAGAUUAGGUAGUUGGUGGGGUAAAGGCUUACCAAGCCUACGAUCUGUAGCUGGUCUGAGAGGACGACCAGCCACACUGGGACUGAGACACGGCCCAGACUCCUACGGGAGGCAGCAGUGGGGAAUUUUGGACAAUGGGCGAAAGCCUGAUCCAGCAAUGCCGCGUGCAGGAUGAAGGCCUUCGGGUUGUAAACUGCUUUUGUACGGAACGAAAAGGCGCCUACUAAUACUGGGUGUUGAUGACGGUACCGUAAGAAUAAGCACCGGCUAACUACGUGCCAGCAGCCGCGGUAAUACGUAGGGUGCAAGCGUUAAUCGGAAUUACUGGGCGUAAAGCGUGCGCAGGCGGUGUUGUAAGACAGUUGUGAAAUCCCCGGGCUCAACCUGGGAACUGCAUCUGUGACUGCAAUGCUGGAGUGCGGCAGAGGGGGAUGGAAUUCCGCGUGUAGCAGUGAAAUGCGUAGAUAUGCGGAGGAACACCGAUGGCGAAGGCAA
rnacentral:rRNA from 1 species